GCCUCGAUAGCUCAGCUGGUAGAGCGCGUGCUUGGUAAGCACGAGGUCGCGGGUUCGAUUCCCGCUCGAGGCU
rnacentral:tRNA from 1 species